GACGAACGCUGGCGGCGUGCCUAAUACAUGCAAGUCGAACGAACCGCGACUAAGUGCUUGCACUAAGUCAAGGUGAGUGGCGAACGGGUGAGUAACACGUGGGUAACCUACCUCAUAGUGGGGGAUAACAGUCGGAAACGACUGCUAAUACCGCAUAGGACAUAGGAUCACAUGAUCCAGUGAGGAAAGGUGGCGCAAGCUAUCGCUAAGAGAUGGACCCGCGGUGCAUUAGCUAGUUGGUAGGGUAAAGGCCUACCAAGGCGACGAUGCAUAGCCGACCUGAGAGGGUGAUCGGCCACAUUGGGACUGAGACACGGCCCAAACUCCUACGGGAGGCAGCAGUAGGGAAUCUUCCGCAAUGGACGAAAGUCUGACGGAGCAACGCCGCGUGAGUGAAGAAGGUCUUCAGAUCGUAAAGCUCUGUUGUUAGAGAAGAACAGCGCAUAGAGUAACUGCGAUGCGUGUGACGGUAUCUAAUCAGAAAGCCACGGCUAACUACGUG
rnacentral:rRNA from 1 species